UACGGAGGGUGCAAGCGUUGUUCGGAAUUAUUGGGCGUAAAGCGCGUGUAGGCGGCGGCGCAAGUCGUGUGUGAAAGCUCCCGGCUCAACCGGGGAACUGCGUGUGAUACUGCCUUGCUUGAGUCCUGGAGAGGGUGGCGGAAUUCCCGGUGUAGGAGUGAAAUCCGUAGAUAUCGGGAGGAACACCAGUGGCGAAGGCGGCCACCUGGACAGGUACUGACGCUGAGACGCGAAAGCGUGGGGAGCAAACAGG
rnacentral:rRNA from 1 species